rnacentral:misc_RNA from 1 species
GGACUACACAAUCACAAAUCCCUAAAAUUUCUACUUUCUAUAUUUCUUCCUAGCAGAAGUUUGAGGACUCCUAAAAUCUCUAGGAGUCAAACCUGCAUCACAUGGCAAGCAGCAGAAGCCAACUAUUGCAGUCCACAUCCAACCAAAAUUCCUGAAUCCGAGGAACGGCAAAGAGGUACGAACUUAGUUUUGAAACUGAAAACAACUCCGAGCUAAUCA